rnacentral:rRNA from 1 species
UACGGAGGGGGCGAGCGUUAUUCGGAAUUAUUGGGCGUAAAGGGCGCGUAGGCGGCGCGAUAAGUCAAAGGUGAAAUCCCUCGGCUCAACUGAGGAACUGCCUUUGAAACUGUCGAGCUCGAGGCCGGGAGGGGGUAGCGGAAUUCCCAGUGUAGCGGUGAAAUGCGUAGAUAUUGGGAGGAACACCAGUGGCGAAGGCGGCUACCUGGACCGGUUCUGACGCUGAUGCGCGAAAGCGUGGGGAGCAAACAGG